GGAGAGAUGGCUCAGUGGUUAAGAGCACUGGCUGCUCUUCCAGAGGACCUGGGUUCAAUACCCAGCACCC
rnacentral:tRNA from 1 species